rnacentral:piRNA from 1 species
UCUGAAUCACUGAAUCAGUGUCCCACGGAGU